rnacentral:misc_RNA from 1 species
UACGAAGGGUGCUAGCGUUGUUCGGAAUUACUGGGCGUAAAGGGUACGUAGGCGGUUUAGUAAGUCGAUUGUGAAAGCCCCGGGCUCAACCCGGGAAUUGCAACCGAAACUGCUUUGCUAGAGUUUGGUGGGGGAUAGUGGAAUUCCUAGUGUAGGGGUGAAAUCCGUAGAUAUUAGGAGGAACACCAGUGGCGAAAACGACUAUCUACGCCAAUACUGACGCUAAGGUACGAAAGCGUGGGGAGCAAACAGG